CUCUUCGGGGAUGAUUAAACCGGCGCACGGGUGAGUAACACGUGAGUGACCUGCCUUUUAGACUGGAACAACUUACCGAAAGGUGAGCUAAUGCCGGAUGAGUUAUAUAAGUGCAUGUUUAUAUAGGAAAAGUUGGGGAGACCUGACGCUGAAAGAUGGACUCGCGUCCCAUUAGCUAGUUGGUAGGGUAAUGGCCUACCAAGGCGACGAUGGGUAGCCGGCCUGAGAGGGUGGCCGGCCACACUGGGACUGAGACACGGCCCAGACUCCUACGGGAGGCAGCAGUGGGGAAUUUUGCGCAAUGCUCGUAAGAGUGACGCAGCGACGCCGCGUGAAUGACGAAGGCCUUCGGGUCGUAAAGUUCUUUCGACAGGGAAGAAAAUGCCUAUAAGUAACUGUGUAUGUAUUGACGGUACCUGUAUAAGCAGCCCCGGCUAACUCCGUGCCAGCAGCCGCGGUAAUACGGAGGGGGCGAGCGUUGUUCGGAGUGACUGGGCGUAAAGAGCACGUAGGCGGUGUUGUAAGUCAUUAGUCAAAGACUAGAGCUCAACUUUAGUAAGGCUAGUGAUACUAUAAUACUAGAGUAUCAGAGAGGAUUGCAGAAUUCCUGGUGUAGCGGUGAAAUGCGUAGAUAUCAGGAGGAAUACCGUUAGCGAAGGCGGCAAUCUGGCUGGAAACUGACGCUGAGGUGCGAAAGCGUGGGUAGCAAACAGGAUUAGAUACCCUGGUAGUCCACGCUGUAAACGAUGGAUGCUAGGUGUUGGGCUUUUAAGUUCAGUGCCGCAGCAAACGCGAUAAGCAUCCCGCCU
rnacentral:rRNA from 1 species